rnacentral:rRNA from 1 species
AUUGAACGCUGGCGGCAUGCCUUACACAUGCAAGUCGAACGGUAACAGGUCUUCGGAUGCUGACGAGUGGCGAACGGGUGAGUAAUACAUCGGAACGUGCCCGAUCGUGGGGGAUAACGGAGCGAAAGCUUUGCUAAUACCGCAUGCGAUCUACGGAUGAAAGCAGGGGACCGCAAGGCCUUGCGCGGACGGAGCGGCCGAUGGCAGAUUAGGUAGUUGGUGGGAUAAAAGCUUACCAAGCCGACGAUCUGUAGCUGGUCUGAGAGGACGACCAGCCACACUGGGACUGAGAAACGGCCCAGACUCCUACGGGAGGCAGCAGUGGGGAAUUUUGGUCAAUGGGCGAAAGCCUGAUCCAGCCAUGCCGCGUGCAGGAUGAAGGCCUUCGGGUUGUAAACUGCUUUUGUACGGAACGAAAAGACUCCUUCUAAUAAAGGGGGUCCAUGACGGUACCGUAAGAAUAAGCACCGGCUAACUACGUGCCAGCAGCCGCCGUAACAC